UACGGAGGGUGCAAACGUUGCUCGGAAUCAUUGGGCGUAAAGCGCACGUAGGCGGCUCGUUAAGUCGGGUGUGAAAGCCCUGGGCUCAACCCAGGAAGUGCAUUCGAAACUAGCGAGCUUGAAUAUGGAAGAGGGUCGCGGAAUUCCCGGUGUAGAGGCGAAAUUCGUAGAUAUCGGGAGGAACACCAGUGGCGAAGGCGACUCACUGGACAUGUAUUGACGCUGAGGUGCGAAAGCGUGGGGAGCAAACAGG
rnacentral:rRNA from 1 species